rnacentral:lncRNA from 1 species
CCCAUACGUGGAGAUGGUGGGUCCUUCAGGUCCUACUGGUGCUCCCAUGGGUGGAGAUAAUGGGUCCUUCAGGUCCCACUGGUGGUCCCACAGGUCCUUCAGAUCCUAUUGGUGGUCCUACGAGUAGAGAUGUGUCCUUCAGAUCCUACUGGUGGUGCCACAGAUCCUAUUGGCGAUCCCACGGGUGGAGAUGUGUCCUCCAGAUCCUAGUGGUGGUGCCACAGGUCCUUCAGAUCCUACUGGUGGUCCUAUGGGUGGAGAUGUGUCCUUCAGAUCCUAUUGGUGGUUCUAUGGGUAGAGAUGAGUCCUUCAGAUCCUACUGGUGGUCCCACAGCUCCUUCAGAUCCUAUUGGUGGUCCCACGAGUGGAGACGUUUCCUUCAGAUCCCACUGGUGGUCUCACGGGUGGAAAUGUUUUUUCAGCUCCCACUGAUGGUCCCACACGUCCCUCAGAUCCCACUGAUGGUCCCACACGUCCUUCAGAAGCUGAAGUUGACACCAAAUCACCCGGUGCUUCUCCAAGGAACAGCCACCAAGACGGGACAAGACCAGCCUGCCCAGUUCCCCCAACGCCCCCCAGUGACAUCCUCGUGUCCUUCCCGUCCCCAAAGUGCCACCCCCUCCCCACCCAGAGGUCUUCCCCACCCCGUUCCACCAUCCCUGGUGUCACCCCAAAGUCCUCCAGGUGAACACCAACCCCCCCAGAAGGUUCCAGUCCCUCCGUCCCUCCGGUGGGAGGCGGGCAGCGGGGUGCGGGGCGAGAACUUGGGGGAGGGGGGAGUUUAGGGGGUUGGUGGGGAAGGGGAUGGUCGUGGGGUGAUGCUAUAGGACGCCCUCCAUGAAGCUGGUGUCCAGGUGCUGGAUGAGGACCCGCAGGAAGGACAUCUCUUUGCGGGUGUUCUCAAAGAUGACGCGGGGGUCGUCCGACUGACAGCGCAGGCAGUUGGGGGCCAUCACCAUGGCCAGGUUGUUGACGUCCAUCUUGGUGACGGCCACGUUGGCCGGCUGCACGAACACCUGAGGGGGGCAAGGACCCAAUUUGGUGGUGGGGUUGGGGGAACCCAAACCCAGGGUGGUGGUAGGACCUCGUCCUUGGUGUGGGAUUGAGGGAAUACAAACUUAUGGUGGUGGUGGGAACCCAUCUUUGGUG